AUGAUCACACUCUUUGUGGCUCUUUACUCUCUGCUUUGUCUCUGCACAACUGGAAACCCGACUGACAUCAAGGAGUUUCAAGUGAAAACAAAGCCUGGAGAAGCUGUAACUAUGGAGUGCAACUUUAGCGGGGACAAAAACAAAAAGAGUUUUGCUUGGUACAGACAGAGUUUUGGAAAAGUGCCUCAGGUUUUUGCCAGAGAGUACGGUGGCACUCCUGGCUACACAUUUUUCGAGGGAUUUAAAGAUAGCCGCUUCACUGUUACUGUAAAGGACCAAAAGUUUGAUCUCAACAUUAAUGAAACAAGAGAAGAUGAUGGAGGAGAAUAUUUCUGUGGAUAUGUGGAGGGAAGUACAGUAAAGUUCACAUCUGGAACACGUCUGCAGUUUGAAGGUGAAGAGAUGAAACCCUGUCCUACACCUGGAACACUUAACAAGAACACACACUCUGUUACACACCAGGGUUCAAACAGCAGAGAUGGAGAAGGUUCCAGCUCUACUGAUCAGAUGUGUGUGAUGUUCUGGCUCUCUGUUUCUAGAGUUGGAGUUCUUGUCUUUAUUAUUUUUCCAACGAUGCUGAUUGUUUACAAAUUAAAAUACAAAUUGUAAUAAAAUACUUUAAUGUCUGUCAGAUUUGACUAUCAUGACACUAUAAAUGGGUUAAAAUGUUUUUUGUAUAUAUGAUUUGAUAUAUACAGUGGUGUGAAAAACUAUUUGCCCCCUUCCUGAUUUCUUAUUCUUUUGCAUGUUUGUCACA